rnacentral:rRNA from 1 species
ACGGGAGGCAGCAGUGAGGAAUAUUGGUCAAUGGACGAGAGUCUGAACUAGCCAAGUAGCGUGCAGGAUGACGGCCCUAUGGGUUGUAAACUGCUUUUGUACGGGAAUAAAGUGACCUACGUGUAGGUUUUUGCAUGUACCGUAAGAAUAAGGACCGGCUAAUCCCGUGCCAGCAGCCGCGGUAAUACGGAAGGUCCGGGCGUUAUCCGGAUUUAUUGGGUUUAAAGGGAGCGUAGGCCGUGCUUUAAGCGUGAUGUGAAAUGUAGGCGCCCAACGUCUGCACUGCAGCGCGAACUGGAGCACUUGAGUACGCAGGAAGUAGGCGGAAUUCGUCGUGUAGCGGUGAAAUGCUUAGAUAUGACGAAGAACUCCGAUUGGGAAGCCAGCUUACUGUAGCGCCACUGACGCUGAUGCUCGAAAGCGUGGGUAUCGAGCAGGAUUAGAUACCCUGGUA